rnacentral:rRNA from 1 species
GAUGAACGCUGGCGGCGUGCCUAAUACAUGCAAGUCGAGCGAAGCGGGGACGGGUGAGUAACACGUGGAUAACCUCCUAUAAGACUGGGAUAAACUCGGGAAACCGGAGCUAAACCGGAUUAUUAUCGAUUGAUCUGCUCUGCAUUAGCUCGUUGGUAAGGUAACGGCUUACAAAGGCAACGAUGCAUAGACGACCUGAGCGGGGGAUCGGCCACACUGGAACUGAGACACGGUCCAGACUCCUACGGGAGGCAGCAGUAGGGAAUCUUCCGCAAUGGGCGAAAGCCUGACGGAGCAACGCCGCGUGAGUGAGGAAGGUCUUCGGAUCGUAAAGCUCUGUUAUUAGGGAAGCGUUACCUAAUCAGAAAGCCACGGCUAACUACGUGCCAGCCGCCGCGGUAAUAC